AUUCAGCUGACGAGUCCCAAAUAGGAUGAAACGCGCUUCCUGGAU
rnacentral:hammerhead_ribozyme from 1 species